UCUCGAUAGCGUAAAAUUUAACUCAAAUUUGUAUGGAGUUGGAACGUUUGCCUAUGUUUGCCGCUGUUCCAACUGCAUACAAAUUCGAGUUAAAUUUUACGCUAUCGA
rnacentral:pre_miRNA from 9 species